UUGCGCCCCGGAUUGCAACGGAAAUCCCACAGCAAGCGUUGGGAAAGGCAUGGCGCGAGGAAUUGCAGUGGAAAGCCGGAAAUGUG
rnacentral:misc_RNA from 1 species